UCAAUCCGGCGCCUGGUCGAUCCCGUGCGAGCCAGGGACAUCACGCGCGAGCCCAGGACCCUGAAGAACCCUACCGCAGCCCCUUCUCCGUCCUUUCCUCGUCCGCACGAGCAGUUAGGGCGAAACGGAUCUCGCCGGAGGAGCUCCAAGUCCGCCGGACGGUGCCGUCACCCAGAGGGAGAGGAACACGCCGGCCGACUUCACCGGAGCUCGCCGGAGUUCGCGACGCCGCCGUCUGUAGAGGACGUCCCCGUCACCGUACUCACCACCACCACCUCCGCCACUCACCGCUGCACCCGUCCGUCCCUUCAUCUUCGCCGGAGCAUCAUCGGAGAGACGCCGCCGCCGACGCCCGAGACCGCCGCUGCCGUUCCUCUGCUUCCGGUGAGCACACACGCGCAGGAGUUUUUCCACAAAUCUCGUGCUGCCACGUAGCAACCAGCUACAGUACACGCAUGAACAGUGCAGGAGUUUUCUGUUGUUUUCUGUUUUUUUUUCAGAUUUCAGCUAAAACUUCAACUAGCUAUAUCUUUUAGUCGACAUAUCCAAUUUAGGUAAUAAUUUUCCUGUGCACUCACAAAAAUCAGAACAUUAUCACA